UGAGUACGAGACGCUAAGGCGUUGAAGCAGUCUAUGUCAGACUUCCAAGAAAAGCUCGCAAUGUCAUAAGCAAAAAAUGCCUGUACCAUAACCGACACAGGUGGGUAGGUAGAGUAUACUAAGGGGCGCGAGAUAACUCUCUCUAAGGAACUCGGCAAAAUGACUCCGUAACUUCGGGAGAAGGAGUGCCUUAUUUUUAUAAGGUUGCAAUAACAAGAUCCAAGCAACUGUUUACCAAAAACACAGGUCUCCGCUAAGUCGUAAGACGAUGUAUGGGGGCUGACGCCUGCCCAGUGCCAGAAGGUUAAAGAAGUUGGUUAGUUUCGGCGAAGCUGAUGACUGAAGCCCUGGUGAACGGCGGCCGUAACUAUAACGGUCCUAAGGUAGCGAAAUUCCUUGUCGGGUAAGUUCCGACCCGCACGAAAGGCGUAAUGAUUUGGAUACUGUCUCGGAGAGGGGCUCGGUGAAAUAGACUUGUCUGUGAAGAUGCGGACUACCUGCACCUGGACAGAAAGACCCUAUGAAGCUUUACUGUAACUUGAGAUUGAAAUUGGACUUUAUUUGCGCAGUAUAGGUGGGAGACGUUGAGAAUAUUCUUGCGGGAAUAUUGGAGUCAUCAGUGAGAUACCACUCUUGUAAUGUUAGAUUUCUAACUUUGUAUCAUGAUCUGGUCAAAGGACAGUUUCAGGCGGGCAGUUUGACUGGGGCGGUCGCCUCCCAAACGGUAACGGAGGCGCACAAAGGUUUCCUCUGAACGUGUAGAAAUCGUAUCUAGAGUGUAAAGGCAUAAGGAAGCUUGACUGUGAGACCUACAAGUCGAGCAGGGACGAAAGUCGGUCUUAGUGAUCUGACGGUGCUGAGUGGAAAGGCCGUCACUCAACGGAUAAAAGUUACUCUAGGGAUAACAGGCAGAUCUCCCCCAAGAGUUCACAUCGACGGGGAGGUUCGGCACCUCGAUGUCGGCUCAUCGCAUCCUGGGGCGGUAGUACGUCCCAAGGGUUGGGCUGUUCGCCCAUGAAAGCGGUACGCGAGCUGGGUUCAGAACGUCGUGAGACAGUUCGGUCCAUAUCCGGUGUAGGCGUUAGAAUAUUGAGAGGAGCCUUCUUUAGUACGAGAGGACCGAGAAGGACAUACCUCUGGUGUACCAGUUAUCGUGCCAACGGUAAACGCUGGGUAGCUAUGUAUGGAGUGGAUAACCGCUGAAAGCAUCUAAGUGGGAAGCCCACCUCAAGAUAAG
rnacentral:rRNA from 1 species